rnacentral:lncRNA from 1 species
UGUGACCCAGCACCCAGCAUGCGAAGAGUGUGGGUGGUGGCAUGCUACGGGAACAGCCAACGUGCCACGCAGCUCCAAGUCAGCACUGCUGUCUUGCUGAAGUCUCCAGAUUUCAGGACCAUCUCUCAAGUCUAAAAUUUCAUCAUGACAUUUAAAAUUUUUCACUCUGCUCAGAGACAAAGAGAGAUCCUAACAGGUGAAACACGUUAUGCUUCCAAGCAUCUCCCAGCACUUCCCAGUGCUAAGUUAUAGCUACAUCAGCUUUUUUGUUGUUGAGACAGGUGCUGUGCAGAUGGAGACUACUGGACAUCCUUUGUACCUUACAGUUUGUAUUCAACAGCAACAGGACAGAAGAAGGACAGGAAACCAGGAGAGGUUUGCCUUACUCUGUUGUUUUGUGGUUUUGUUUUUUGUUUGUUUGUUUUGUUUUGUUUUUCUUUCUUCUUUUUUUUCUUUUUUUCUAUUCUUUAUUAUUUUGUUAUCUUCCAGAAGUACCUUAAGUGCUGUGAUUAGUACUCUUUGUGUGCAGUUACCUAGCUUUCUUUUCAAAGAGAAGAAUUCACAAUGUUGCUGGUGUAGGGUUUUAAACACGAUCCCAUAUUGAUCCCUGCACUGUGUGCACGUGGCAGUGUUGGCAAGGUCAGAGGGCAGUUUUGGGCACAGGGAGGCUGAGG